rnacentral:rRNA from 1 species
AGCGAACGCUGGCGGCAGGCCUAACACAUGCAAGUCGAACGAAGUCUUCGGACUUAGUGGCGGACGGGUGAGUAACACGUGGGAACGUGCCUUUAGGUUCGGAAUAACUCAGGGAAACUUGUGCUAAUACCGAAUGUGCCCUUCGGGGGAAAGAUUUAUCGCCUUUAGAGCGGCCUGCGUCUGAUUAGCUAGUUGGUGAGGUAAUGGCUCACCAAGGCUACGAUCAGUAGCUGGUCUGAGAGGAUGAUCAGCCACACUGGGACUGAGACACGGCCCAGACUCCUACGGGAGGCAGCAGUGGGGAAUCUUGCGCAAUGGGCGAAAGCCUGACGCAGCCAUGCCGCGUGAAUGAUGAAGGUCUUAGGAUUGUAAAAUUCUUUCACCGGGGACGAUAAUGACGGUACCCGGAGAAGAAGCCCCGGCUAACUUCGUGCCAGCCGCCGCCGUAACAC